rnacentral:rRNA from 1 species
UGGGGAAUAUUGGACAAUGGGCGCAAGCCUGAUCCAGCCAUGCCGCGUGUGUGAAGAAGGCCUUCGGGUUGUAAAGCACUUUAAGCGAGGAGGAAGGUCUUUGAACUAAUAUUUCAAAGAAUUGACGUUACUCGCAGAAUAAGCACCGGCUAACUCUGUGCCAGCAGCCGCGGUAAUACAGAGGGUGCAAGCGUUAAUCGGAAUUACUGGGCGUAAAGCGCGCGUAGGCGGUAUGUUAAGUCGGAUGUGAAAUCCCUGGGCUCAACCUAGGCAUUGCAUCCGAUACUGGCACACUAGAGUGUGGGAGAGGAAGGUAGAAUUCCAGGUGUAGCGGUGAAAUGCGUAGAGAUCUGGAGGAAUACCGAUGGCGAAGGCAGCCUUCUGGCCUAACACUGACGCUGAGGUGCGAAAGCAUGGGGAGCAAACA